AUAGAACGCUGGCGGCAGGCCUAACACAUGCAAGUCGAACGGUAACAGGAAGCAGCUUGCUGCUUUGCUGACGAGUGGCGGACGGGUGAGUAAUGUCUGGGAAACUGCCUGAUGGAGGGGGAUAACUACUGGAAACGGUAGCUAAUACCGCAUAACGUCGCAAGACCAAAGAGGGGGACCUUAGGGCCUCUUGCCAUCGGAUGUGCCCAGAUGGGAUUAGCUAGUAGGUGGGGUAACGGCUCACCUAGGCGACGAUCCCUAGCUGGUCUGAGAGGAUGACCAGCCACACUGGAACUGAGACACGGUCCAGACUCCUACGGGAGGCAGCAGUGGGGAAUAUUGCACAAUGGGCGCAAGCCUGAUGCAGCCAUGCCGCGUGUAUGAAGAAGGCCUUCGGGUUGUAAAGUACUUUCAGCGGGGAGGAAGGGAGUAAAGUUAAUACCUUUGCUCAUUGACGUUACCCGCAGAAGAAGCACCGGCUAACUCCGUG
rnacentral:rRNA from 1 species